ensembl:lncRNA
CUUUUAAUGGCAAAAAAAACACACUUACUUUUGCACCAACCUAAUAUUUUAUAACGGCUCUGGUUCCCCUGCCCCUUCCAGAAGCAGGAGGAGAUUUUUCUCUGAUGUUUACUGUGAGAAACUGCUGAGCGUCUGGAGGUAAAACUUAGAAAAAGCAUGAGCCUCCUCGUCCCCAUGACUAGCCCUUCCUGGAGUUUUUCUCUCUCAGACUUGUCCACAUCUAGCCUCCAGCAAUCCAUCCAUUUCUGGUCCCGGUCGGGUUCUCACGGAGGUUGCCGCCCUGGCGUUUUGUGAUUCUCUCUAUCUGCCUGCCUCUCCCUUUCGGGGGGCAGUCGUUUGUUCCGUUGCUCUACUUCUCCUACGGAUCUAAGAAGAGGUGUUUUCCAGUUUGUUCUGCUUUUUUCUUGAUAGGAUACAGUGGUCACUUCCAACCUCCUUAUAAGGGGGACCAGAAGCCAGAUAUCCAAUACAUGUUUUCGUUGUUGCUAUUUAUACCUCUGUUGUUUUCUGUUUUCAGUUGGUGAGGAUCGGAAUAGCACACUGGAUGCCAGAAUAUUAUCUGUUCUAUUGAGGCAAGAACGCCAGGCUACAUAGCUACGCUUUUGCUGUGUGAACGAGAACACAGUACUGCUGAGAGGCACAGAAAUCAGUGGGAGAAGGGUAAACUCUUAGUUGUAAUUUUUCAUUUUUCUUCAUUUCAGAAAUGAUUCAGCUCUUGUCUCUUUUCGGUGUCACUUACGAUGAUGAAAGUCGAGAAAAGAGCAAAUUCUACUCCAUGUCAUUGAAGAUCAUAAUCUUUACCGCCUAAAACACGCAACCGGUUCAGGGAGUACAACGUGUAAGCAGGUCCUAGAAGUCGCCACUCUAUCACUCUAACUAUGGCGAGAGGAGCCACACAGAACAAGAUCGAUAUGAGCGGGUUGACAGCAGCGUCUCACUCCAAACACUGUGUUAAACCGUUCUUGCAUUGUUAUAAAUAAAUACUUGAGACUAGGUAAUGUUAAUGAAGAGAGGUUUCAUUGGUUCACAGUUCUGCAGGCUAUACAAGAAGUAGAAUGAAUACAGGCGUCUGCUUCUGGGGAGGCCUCAGGAAGCUUCCAGUCAUGGCAGACGUUGAAGGGGGAUGAAGCAUGUCACAUAGUGGAACAAGAGAGAGAGAGAGAAGGUGCUACCCACCUUAAAACAACUAGAUCCACGAGAAUGCACUCACUAUUGUGAGGACAGCUCCAGGGGAACGGUGCUAAACCAUUCAGGAGGGAUCCGCUCCCAAGAUUCAAUCAGCUCCCAUCAGGCCCCACCUCCAACACUGGGGAUUGCAUUUCAACAUGAGAUUGGGAUGGGGAAUGGAUCCAAGCUAUAUCACAAUGCAGUGAUAUCUCAAAUCACGUAAUACAUAUAUUAACUCAGCAGGUGUUUAUGGAACCAAUUAUAGGCAUGGGAAAAUUUAUGAAACAGUGUCUAGCAGGUAUGAUUGAAGCUUCUAAGAGGAAAUAAUAAGAAGUACACUAUAGGAACUCUGCUGGAGCUGUCCAGUAAAAGGAGAACAAAAAUAAAACCAGCUGUACCACUUGGAUCUUUCGCUAAAGCAGCGGCGGCCUGAAGAGUCCACAGAAAAAUCCACGAGUCCUAAAGUGUAAGGCUCAGGGUCUUCAUCUGAAAACUGCUCAUUGGAUUGCCAGAGACCCUUCAAGGUCCCGUCCUUAUUUUGCUGGGAUUUCGUAUUUUACUGCGAGGUAUGUCCUGUUCUCAUAUGAUCGUUGAGGGCUCACACAUUGCGAAGAAUCUGCUUUACUGAAAGGCAAAAUUGUUUUGGGCUGUGGCCUACCUAACCCCUCCCCUUCAGGGAAGUAUC